CACUCCAUUAUAGUCGGCAUCAGAAUUUAUUGCUGUCAAGAGUAAAAUACUGAAUUGGAACUUAUUACAAACUUUUAAUUAAAUUACAUCGCCGCCGGCAUUACGAUCGCCUAGUCAUAACCAAAGGGCCACAAUUCUAAAAUUGGAGUUUAAUUAAGUAGUACAUAAGCAAACUGCUAUUCUUGUUGGUUCAUUUAAUAUUGAUAGAGUGGCUAAACUAAAUCCGAUGUUAUAAAUUAUAUUAAAACAAUGAACAACAUGGUUCCCUUCACCGUGAAAAAAAUUUGUUAAACUUGUAUUUUAUUAACAACAUGCUUGUAGUUAAUUAUUUGUAGUGAAUUUUAAUUGCAAUUGGUUGUCGAAUUAACAUUAAGUUAAGUGAAAUUCUUCUGGUAGGUAAAAUUGGAAGUGUGAAUUUAACAAAAUCUAUUCGAGAAGAUUACUAAAACUUGUUGUCCAGUGUGAAAAGGUCACCACUGCAAUGGAGAAUAUGGUACAAAAAUUUAGUUGCUUUAAUUUAUUGUUGUCACCUCAGCUGUUUUUAUGCAGUUACUACGCCAAUAUAAAGAAAAUCUAAGAAGAGGAACAAUACACCGAUUAUCAUGCAAAAAUGUGCACCGAGUAGGAAUAAUCUGAAUUAAUUUUGAAAUAGAUACAUACAUGUUACAAUUCCAAUUUUCUUGCACCGCUAUCCAAUUAUUUUUGUGAUCUCGAUAGAGCAAUUACGCUGACGCUAUUGGACAACUUGGAUCAAGAAAAUUUGAUUCAACUGAAACUACCCGUAAAAUGGAACCGACCUAAAGAUUUCAGACCAAAAAGUGCCAGUAGAACACGUAAAAGAAAUAUUCAUGUACGUAUGAACACCGCCACUACAUAAAAUGUUAAAGCAACUACAUUUUACAGCAUAUUCUUCAUUGUAGUGGUUUAUAACAAUGGACGUAAAACCUAUUUUAGUAAUAUUCUUGAACGGAUUUUGUUAAUAAAAUGCAAAUUUAACAAAAUAUUUUUUACAGUGUACUGGGCCUAGAAAGGCUUGGAAUAUUAUUGUCAACGAAUUGCUUCUAUCAAAAUCAA